UGGGGAAUUUUGGACAAUGGGCGAAAGCCUGAUCCAGCAAUGCCGCGUGUGUGAAGAAGGCCUUCGGGUUGUAAAGCACUUUUGUCCGGAAAGAAAUCCUUGGCUCUAAUACAGUCGGGGGAUGACGGUACCGGAAGAAUAAGCACCGGCUAACUACGUGCCAGCAGCCGCGGUAAUACGUAGGGUGCAAGCGUUAAUCGGAAUUACUGGGCGUAAAGCGUGCGCAGGCGGUUUGCUAAGACCGAUGUGAAAUCCCCGGGCUCAACCUGGGAACUGCAUUGGUGACUGGCAGGCUAGAGUAUGGCAGAGGGGGGUAGAAUUCCACGUGUAGCAGUGAAAAUGCGUAGAGAUGUGGAGGAAUACCGAUGGCGAAGGCAGCCCCCUGGGCCAAAUACUGACGCUCAUGCACGAAAAGCGUGGGGAGCAAAACAGGAUUAGAUACCCUGGUAGUCCACGCCCUAAAA
rnacentral:rRNA from 1 species